UGGUGGAGUGAUUUGUCUGGUUAAUUCCGUUAACGAACGAGACCUCGUGGUGGUGGUUGGAAGUCGACUACAUGGUAGUGGUGCUUCGUCCCACCCCGACACUCGGUGGGGAGCCGAGGGAAGAUCGAGGCAAUAACA
rnacentral:rRNA from 1 species